ACGUGGUGGCGGGCCAGCUGGAGAGAUUUGAAUACUGGAACCAGCUUCUGCCUACAUGGGAAACAUUUCCUGCAUUUCUCACUUUCAGUUGGCUUGCCUAGCCCUGCUCCGCUCUGUUGCCAAGUCUCCCUCAGUCUCGCUUUGCUCACUCCAGAGCCAGCUGUUGAGACGCAGCUCAGAGCAAGCCGAGAAUGUGUCGAUUAUCGUCUAUCAAGCGUCCUCGUCUGAAAAAUGGAACUAAUAGCACCAACCUCACAGAAUUGUUAUCGGGAUUAAAAGAGGUAACAUAGACAAAGCGCUCUGCCAGUAAAACACAACUAUAAUUAGCCCGUUGCCCCAGAGGCCCAGGUGAGAUAUCUGGAUGCUAAAUAAUGAAGUAAAUUAAUUUGGCAUUUCUGACCUCCACCCAGAAGGCUACUCAUUGGUUGGAAGGAAAUAGAGAGGAGGACAAACAACUCUUUGGAAAAGGGGGCCAUAGGU